UGUGAGCUUUGUGUAUAAUGGGUCUGUAGUGUCUGGAGUUCUUGUGUAUAAUGGGUCUGUAGUGUCUGUGAGCUUUGUGUAUAAUGGGUCUGUAGUGUCUGAGAGCUCUGUGUAUAAUGGGUCUGUGUGGUAUAAAUUGCAGAGAAGCUUGCAGUGGUGCCUGAGAGAGCAGAUCAUGUGGCGGCGCUGUGAUGCGAGCCCUGCUCUGGGCUUUGGAAGCCAACGAAAGGAAACGAGCUGAAUGUGUGAGGGGACCGGCGCGACACCGCUGCGGUUCCGUCUCCUCGAGAGGCGGAUGAGCCAACCCGCCGACGCACCGCACCGCACCAAGGCUGCUCAAUCUAGACAAAUUUGCCGCUCUUAGACACUCACUUCUGCUGCCAAUUCCCUUCCUGGCAGAUGCGCCAAGGGCCAUGUUUCUCAGUAAACGUGUGUUGGCAAAGA